rnacentral:lncRNA from 1 species
UAGUAAUUAGCAUUCACCUGGGGUUUUAUAAGCAGGAGGUAGCUGCGACAUAUAACUAUCUUGUGAGGUGAAGAGGCCAGGAUUAUCACGUCCAUUUUGCAAAGAGAAAAUAAAAACUCAGACGUGGUGAGUGACUCACCACGAUUGGAUCAGGAGACAGCUGUCUGAAGAAGAAUGAGAGAAGGAGUUCCUUCCACCCAGGGAACAGCAUUGUACAGCAAAUGAAAAACACCACGACGAGGCAGAGAGAGACCACAGAAGAAAGGCGGCUGAAGAAAGAGGAAGUCUUGCACUUUGCAUGCCGGGAUUUGAGUGUGUCCAUCUGUCGUGAAGCCUGCAAGGGUCGGCUCACAUUAACAUGCAGCGUCACUGUAUCUCCACCCACACUACACAUUUGAGGAACGGAUGCAGUCAACAGGAGAAUCCAGGCCUUCCCAUGGCUGUGCUGGCAACAAUAGGUGUGCUCUGGCAACUGUCACGUUGAUUCCUGUCAGCCCCCGCCAGCCUGGGAAGUAGACUUUCACCACAAGAUGGAAAAGUAAGAGGGGAGAUUAUGAGGGGCUCCCAGCCUGCCUGACAGCAGUAGGAGAAGAGUCGGAACUCUUGGACUUUUUGCUUUGAGGCAUUUAAAUGGAAAUUAAAGUAAAUUUGCUCUUUUGGGAUAAUUCAUCCUUUUCUUGUGAUUUUUGAAACUAUGAAAUGUUGGAGCACUUAGGUAGGAAGAUGUUUUUGAAGUUUUGAGGUGCUUCCUUGAUGUUUCAACUUUGAAGCUCCUGUCUGUGAAUAAGUUCAGCCCUUAUUCCACCUUUCUCUUCUGAACAAUGCCAGUGAGUGAGAAGAAAAUAUCCAGUAGGGAGAAGUCACUUAUCUUUGAUCCACACACAAACCCCGCUCCAUUUAGCCAAUAGAGGAGCAGGAUUCAAAAAUGCCCGUCUGUCUGGAAACCACGCACAUCACAUUUAAUAGAAUGGGCAGCGACUGCACCUUCUAUCUCUAACUACUGCCUUUCUGCCUCCCAGAUGCCCCAGUGCAGACACGCUCUCUUAAAGGAGUCUCCUCGUGAC